rnacentral:rRNA from 1 species
CAGUUCAGAUUGCAGGCUGCAACUCGCCUGCAUGAAGUCGGAAUUGCUAGUAAUCGUAGGUCAGCAUACUACGGUGAAUACGUUCCCGGGCCUUGUACACACCGCCCGUCACACCAUGAGAGUCGGGAACACCCGAAGUCCGUAGCCUAACCGCAAGGGGGCGCGGCCGAAGGUGGGUUCGAUAAUUGGGGUGAAGUCGUAACAAGGUAUC